rnacentral:rRNA from 1 species
GAUGAACGCUGGCGGCGUGCCUAAUACAUGCAAGUCGAGCGAACAGACGAGGAGCUUGCUCCUCUGACGUUAGCGGCGGACGGGUGAGUAACACGUGGAUAACCUACCUAUAAGACUGGGAUAACUUCGGGAAACCGGAGCUAAUACCGGAUAAUAUAUUGAACCGCAUGGUUCAAUAGUGAAAGACGGUUUUGCUGUCACUUAUAGAUGGAUCCGCGCCGCAUUAGCUAGUUGGUAAGGUAACGGCUUACCAAGGCGACGAUGCGUAGCCGACCUGAGAGGGUGAUCGGCCACACUGGAACUGAGACACGGUCCAGACUCCUACGGGAGGCAGCAGUAGGGAAUAUUCCGCAAUGGGCGAAAGCCUGAUGGAGCAACGCCGCGUGAGUGAUGAAGGUCUUCGGAUCGUAAAACUCUGUUAUUAGGGAAGAACAAAUGUGUAAGUAACUAUGCACGUCUUGACGGUACCUAAACAGAAAGCCACGGCUAACUACGUG